rnacentral:rRNA from 1 species
GAUGAACGCUGGCGGCGUGCCUAAUACAUGCAAGUCGAGCGAACAGAUAAGGAGCUUGCUCCUUUGACGUUAGCGGCGGACGGGUGAGUAACACGUGGAUAACCUACCUAUAAGACUGGGAUAACUUCGGGAAACCGGAGCUAAUACCGGAUAACAUAUUGAACCGCAUGGUUCAAUAGUGAAAGGCGGCUUUGCUGUCACUUAUAGAUGGAUCCGCGCCGUAUUAGCUAGUUGGUAAGGUAACGGCUUACCAAGGCAACGAUACGUAGCCGACCUGAGAGGGUGAUCGGCCACACUGGAACUGAGACACGGUCCAGACUCCUACGGGAGGCAGCAGUAGGGAAUCUUCCGCAAUGGGCGAAAGCCUGACGGAGCAACGCCGCGUGAGUGAUGAAGGUCUUCGGAUCGUAAAACUCUGUUAUCAGGGAAGAACAAAUGUGUAAGUAACUGUGCCCAUCUUGACGGUACCUGAUCAGAAAGCCACGGCUAACUACGUG